AUUGAACGCUUGCGGCAGGCCUAACACAUGCAAGUCGAACGAGUGGCGGACGGGUGAGUAAUGUCUGGGAAACUGCCCGAUGGAGGGGGAUAACUACUGGAAACGGUAGCUAAUACCGCAUACCAUCGGAUGUGCCCAGAUGGGAUUAGCUAGUAGGUGGGGUAAUGGCUCACCUAGGCGACGAUCCCUAGCUGGUCUGAGAGGAUAACCAGCAACACGGGAACUGGGAAACGGUCCAGAGUCCGACGGGGGGCAGCAGUGGGGAAGAUUGCACAAUGGGCGCAAGCCUGAUGCAGCCAGGCCGCGGGUAUGAAGAAGGCCUUCGGAUUGUAAAGUACUUUCAGCGAGGAGGCGUUACGCGCAGAAGAAGCAACGGCUAACUCCGUGCCAGCAGCCGCGGUAAUUC
rnacentral:rRNA from 1 species